rnacentral:rRNA from 1 species
CCUACGGGAGGCAGCAGUAGGGAAUCUUCCGCAAUGGACGAAAGUCUGACGGAGCAACGCCGCGUGAACGAUGAAGGCCUUCGGGUCGUAAAGUUCUGUUGUUAGGGAAGAACAAGUGCUAGUUGAAUAAGCUGGCACCUUGACGGUACCUAACCAGAAAGCCACGGCUAACUACGUGCCAGCAGCCGCGGUAAUACGUAGGUGGCAAGCGUUGUCCGGAAUUAUUGGGCGUAAAGCGCGCGCAGGCGGUUUCUUAAGUCUGAUGUGAAAGCCCCCGGCUCAACCGGGGAGGGUCAUUGGAAACUGGGAAACUUGAGUGCAGAAGAGGAAAGUGGAAUUCCAAGUGUAGCGGUGAAAUGCGUAGAGAUUUGGAGGAACACCAGUGGCGAAGGCGACUUUCUGGUCUGUAACUGACGCUGAGGCGCGAAAGCGUGGGGAGCAAACAGGAUUAGAUACCCUGGUAGUCCACGCUGUAAACGAUAGAGUGCUAAGUGUUAGAGGGUUUCCGCCCUUUAGUGCUGAAGUUAACGCAUUGAGCACUCCGCCUGGGGAGUCGGUCGCAAGACUGAAACUUAAGGAAUUGAGGCUGAAGAGNGCGACGACGACGACGAGGAGAG